GAUCAACAAUCCACUAGCAAUAAUCGCGCGAUCGAUUGCUGGGUAUAAAAAACGAUGGUGUCAUAUGGUUGCCAACU